rnacentral:rRNA from 1 species
AGAAUCAACGCUGGCGGCGUGCCUAACACAUGCAAGUCGAACGAGAAAGUGGAGCAAUCCAUGAGUAAAGUGGCGCACGGGUGAGUAACACGUGACUAACCUACCCUUGAGUGGGGAAUAACCUAGGGAACCUGGCUAAUACCGCAUAACACCUACGGGUCAAAGGAGCAAUUCGCUUAAGGAGGGGUCGCGGCAGAUUAGCUAGUUGGCGGGUAAUGGCCCACCAAGGCAGUGAUCUGUAU